ACGAACGCUGGCGGCAUGCCUAACACAUGCAAGUCGAACGAGACCUUCGGGUCUAGUGGCGCACGGGUGCGUAACGCGUGGGAACCUGCCCUUAGGUUCGGAAUAACUCCCCGAAAGGGGUGCUAAUACCGGAUAAUGUCUUCGGACCAAAGAUUUAUCGCCUUUGGAUGGGCCCGCGUUGGAUUAGCUAGUUGGUAGGGUAAAAGCCUACCAAGGCGACGAUCCAUAGCUGGUCUGAGAGGAUGAUCAGCCACACUGGGACUGAGACACGGCCCAGACUCCUACGGGAGGCAGCAGUGGGGAAUAUUGGACAAUGGGCGAAAGCCUGAUCCAGCAAUGCCGCGUGAGUGAUGAAGGACUUAGGGUUGUAAAGCUCUUUUACCCGGGAUGAUAAUGACAGUACCGGGAGAAUAAGCUCCGGCUAACUCCGUG
rnacentral:rRNA from 1 species